AUGAAUGUAUGUGUGCAUGCAUGCAUGUAUGCAUGUAUGUAUGUAUG
rnacentral:miRNA from 1 species